rnacentral:rRNA from 1 species
AGCGAACGCUGGCGGCAGGCCUAACACAUGCAAGUCGAACGAACCUUUCGGGGUUAGUGGCGGACGGGUGAGUAACACGUGGGAACGUGCCUUUAGGUUCGGAAUAACUCAGGGAAACUUGUGCUAAUACCGAAUGUGCCCUUCGGGGGAAAGAUUAAUCGCCUUUAGAGCGGCCCGCGUCUGAUUAGCUAGUUGGUUGAGGUAAUGGCUCACCAAGGCGACGAUCAGUAGCUGGUCUGAGAGGAUGAUCAGCCACAUUGGGACUGAGACACGGCCCAAACUCAUCGGGGGGGAGGCAGGGGGGAAUCUUGCGAAAGGGGCGAAAGCCUGACGCACCUAGGCCGGGGGAAUGAGGAAGGUUUUGGGUUUGAAAAUUUUUUCCCCCGGGGCGGAUAAUGACGGUCCCGGGAAAAGAAGCCCCGGCUAACUUGGUC